GACGAACGCUGGCGGCGCGCUUAACACAUGCAAGUCGAGCGACGAAAGGUCCUUUCGGGGACCCUGAAAGCGGCGAACGGGUGAGUAACACGUGGGUAACCCACCCUCGGUUUCGGGAUAGCCCGGGGAAACCCGAUUAAUACCGAAUAGGCCUCUCCGGUCUUCGGGCUGGUGAGAAAAGGUAGCUUCGGCCUCCGACCGAGGACGGGCCCGCGGCCGAUUAGCUUGUUGGUGAGGUAACGGCUCACCAAGGCGACGAUCGGUAGCUGGCUGAGAGGACGAUCAGCCACACUGGGACUGAGACACGGCCCAGACUCCUACGGGAAGGCAGCAGUGGGGAAUCUUGCGC
rnacentral:rRNA from 1 species